UACGUAGGGGGCAAGCGUUGUCCGGAAUCAUUGGGCGUAAAGCGUCCGUAGGUGGCAAUGUAAGUCUGCUGUCAAAGCGUCUGGCUCAACCAGAUAAAGGCAGUGGAAACUACAUAGCUAGAGUAAGGUAGGGGUAGAGGGAAUUCCUGGUGUAGCGGUGAAAUGCGUAGAGAUCAGGAAGAACACCGGUGGCGAAAGCGCUCUGCUGGACCUUAACUGACGCUGAGGGACGAAAGCUAGGGGAGCGAAUGGG
rnacentral:rRNA from 1 species